CCCAGGGGAGGCUCCUUGCCAGCGAUCGGCAGUGUUGGGCAGCUGCCUGUGCCCAUUUUGGAGACCAGUCACGUGGAGGCAGCCUUCUGGAGCUGCCCGGGAUUAUUCCACUGUGGUGACGGUCCCUGAGGCACUCCUGGAGCUGGACCUGGAACACAUGCAGAUGCCCUGGGAAUCGGUGCUGUCAGACUGGCUGCUACAGAGAACACAGCAGGGAGGGCCCCAGGCCGCUGAUGCUGCACAGGAAUGUGCUGGAACAAGGAAACAGAGGAGAAUCUCCUACUGCAUUGUGGGGCGGAGACUUCCUUAUGACAUCUAAUAAAGGAGGGUAAUAUCUGUCUGAUUCGCCCUAUUGUGGGCGUGCUGGCAGCUCAGAGCCUGGAACCUGCUUCAGAUUCUGUGUCUCCCUCUCUCUGCCUCUUCCUGCUCACAUC